UUGAAUAGGAUUGAAGUGCAAGCCGGUUAAUAUUAGGUACAUAUUAACCGGUUUUUUCUUAUACCCAAUCGCCACUGAUUAAUCACUGGACUAAGGCAAUGGUGUCGGGUGCGGUUAAGUUUAAUCUGCUGAAUUUAUUCUUACUGUUGUUCAAACGAAUCGAAUGUGAAGCUGGUGUAAAGGUGAUUCAAAAUGGCGAAAAUUGAAACAGCAGCUUGUGAUUUUAAGGAAAAUUUUGUCGCUAUUAAAAGCGGAACCGGCGGACCACAACCAACAGUAAAAGGAAGGGAAACUGAAAAACGUUCCAACACUUACUAUGAAGUGAACGUUAACAAAUAGUGAGGCUAUUCUAGUUCGAAGCGAGUGCGGAUUUCACAGAAAGGGAACUGUUCGAUGGUGAAAUUUCUAAUUCAAAACCUUGAAGUGAAAAUCAUUUAGCACAAGUGAUUGUAUAUUUGGAAUGGAAGUUUGGAUUGAUCAAUUGAUCCGCAAACAGGAUAGGCAUCAUUCCAAGUAACAAAUGUCCAGAGAAACAAAUGUGUUGAGUAUUCAUAAAGGUUUUCGAAUGCUCUUUUCCCCAUUGAUAUUUUUUCCCAUGACAGACCACAUUUCGUUUCUAUACUGCGUAAGGAUCGAUUUUUCACGAGUAACCGACAAUUGGAUUCAUUAGCAGUACGGUGAAAUUAAAAGUAUACUAUCACGACGUGUCUCUUCGAAGGAAAAAAGAAAAUUUUCUUGCUGCUUAUCCCACAAACUUGAGUGCGGCUAAGAAAAUGUGGAACACUGGAGCAUCGCAUCAAACAAGUAACUUAGUUUUUAAGAAUAUGCAAUAGGUUAGAUUCAAAGGGAAACGUGACUUUUACAUCAAAUUGUGGUAUUUGACCAGUGACUAGCUCAGGUAAAAUUAAUCUGAAGAAAUGAACUAGCCAUGCGGAGAAUUUGUAUUAAAUUUAGUAUAUGAAAUUCUAGUUUAGCAUGUCAGGUAGUGUUAGGUAGUGAUAUUUAAAAUUUCCGAGCAUUUAUGAAAAGUUUCAAGAGACUGCUUAGUACGCAACUGUAAUCAGCAUUUGACUUUCGUCGAUUGCAUGAGUGUUAAAAGUAUGAAAAGUGAACAAUGUGCUCAAGAAAUUGGUAAUUUGAAGCUAUUAUAUGUUUCCUUGGGGAUUGAAAUCAUAUUUUUGUCGAUUGACUAACUUCAAACAUAUGCAACGUUUAUACUUCCGGAUCGAUGAAAACCAUUAGAAAUAAUUUCUGUUUCUAUGCUGGAAUCUUCCAAUUCAAGAAGACGAACUUACUUAUAGGAAAAUGACCACUUUUACUUACUUUCAUUUUUUAUUGCCAGUUUUGCUUCGGAGCAAAACUCUCUCGUCGCCACUUUUAUGUUUUGCUUAGUAAUUCUUUAUAUUUAAACAAUCUUAUCCAACACCCGUAAUGUCUAUUAAAUCAGUCAGAUGUCCCAAGAAGCUCCCUCGUCGCCAGUUGUAAGGUUUGGCUUGUUAGGAUUUUGUGGUCUGACUUCUUCCUAACAGUUCCAUAAAAUUCAAACGUUCUGAUGUUGUGGUUAGCUCUAAGCUUUACGACUGAUAGUAUGUCUAGCCUAUCGAAGACUGAAGCAACGAAGCUUCACUGCUGCAGGUUUUUUCGCUGCAAUGUCUCAUUCUACUUUCUUCCUGCAUACUGCUUAAGAUUAAUUCAGUUAAUCUGACUGAGACAAACAAAACUUUCGGGCAAUCGUAAAAAAACGUACUUCAAUUAUUGUCGUUUCUAUUAAAAACUUCUAUCUGACCUCAUUUAGUCCAUUGCAUUGCAUUUAUUUAUUGGUGUGAGAUAAAAGAAUUAGAUCACCGAACUAAUUCUUUUAUUAAUUUAUUCACUUCUUUUAAUAUCUAUUACUUAACUUCACGUCUGAACUCAGGCAACCAACAACCGUAGUUUCUAUUGAGAUCGUGAGAUUUCGCAAAAAAAACUCCCUCGUCGCCAGUUGUAAUGUUCGGCUUGAAUCGAAUUUUGUGUGUCGAUUUGAGAUGUUCUGGAUCGACGACACAGUUGAGCUCCAAAUUUUGUAUGUUGAGUUUAUUGAAGAUGCAAACUUUAUUUGAAAUCACUUUUUGUUUACAUGUUUCCAUAGCAACCCGUGACUCCAGUGUUGCCGGUUUUGUUUCUAAUGUUUCAUUCCUCUAAUACCAUCUUCUGGUAUCCAACAAUUGUAUUUUCUAUUGAAAUAGUUAGAUUUCUCAUA